UGUUAAUCAUGCUUAUAUUAUUCACAAUACAAAAUGAUCAUUAAGCAUUAUAUUUUUAUAUGCUGGCAUUUCAAAAACUUGCACAUUUGUUUUUCCAGACAGUUGAUUUACUUAGUGUCAACUCAUUUAUGGUCAUUUCUCCAUUAAUGUUGCUCAGCAUCACGGCUGUACACAUGGCAUGAGGCUCUAAGCGGUGAAGGAAACUCAGUUCAUUCACACAUGCAAUCAGGCAGCUAUCAGAUCCAAGGACAAGCAAAUAAAAGCGGCUUGCUGUCCUGUACACUUUAUCAAGUGCUCUCUUUCAGCAAUCACAAACAAGUCCAACUCCAAACUCACCUACACCUACCUAUUCAGAGAAUGAGCUUCAGUUAUUGAAACACUGCGGCAGGCCUGACUGCUUCACUAUGUUUGUCAACACUUCUUGGAAAUUAGGUUUUGGGUUAGUGACCUCGUCCCCACGUCACUGCGGAUCAAUACUUCUCUAAGCUUAUCACAAAACUGUUUGACUAAACCCCCUCUAGGUACAUAUAUGGAGGUUAAAGGAGAGCAGAAUGACCAGUCAUGGCAAACUUUGUUCAGAGACUGGACUUGUUUCUCGUUUUCUUGCCGACAGCGGGACCCUGGAAGAGACUAUGUGAGGAUAUGACAGUGUGUGAAUGUAUUAUACAUAGUGACAUAGUGUUUGUGUUUUCUGAAGAGUUUCUUUUUCAGUGUUCUUACUAUUCCAACAGCAUGGAGGAACAUGUGGAUCAGCCAUCUUUACAAAACAGGGUCUGUGGUAAGUCAACUUGUCCACAGAAACUCUGAGAAUGGAUUUAUCCAAGAAAAAAAAAAAAAAAAUCAUAAUUUGAGCUUAUGUAUAGUAAUAUUUAAGGCUGCAUCAUUUUUUCAGUAGGAAAUUUAUAAACAAAAUGGUUGCUUUUUACAAUUUACAGAAGAAUGUUUUGUGAAAUGCAAACUAAAGGCCCAACGAGUAUUCACACACCAGAAGUGACUAAACUUAAUGUUUUGACUAAGAUUUACAUAAAACUAAAUCUUUGUAAAAGAACGAUGGAGAUCCAGCAUAAUUAUCAAGUGUCGGUCAGUAGUUUUAAACACAUAACAGAGUUCAAGAAGAGACAUUUCCAACCAUUUUCAAUCCACUGACCUCUUAAUGGAUUAAAACAUUUUUUUUUUAAAGAAAUUAAUACUUUUGCUCAGCAAGGUGGCAUGAAACUGAUGCGACACUAAAAUAACAACCUUUACUAUCACUGAGAUACAAUUAUACUUUUAUGACUUUUUCAUUUCAAUUUUAGUUAGAAUUUUACUCAUUUUGUUGUAUUUGUUUUUAUGUUUGUUUUUUUAAUAUCUACAUAGUUUUUAUGAAUUUUUAUUUCAGUUUUAGUUAAUUUAGUACACCAAGAUAGGCUUGUCAUCUAGCAGAAAUAAAAUAUUCAGAUUAUGAUUUUUUUUUUUUAAUGUUUGAAAAUUAUAUAUUUAAAAUAUUAAAGUUGUUUUUUUUUUCAAGUUAAAGUUUAUUUUAUUUCAAGAAAUAUUUUUUUCAUAUAUAUGGGUUUAGUUUUAAUUAGAAUAACCCCAAAAAAAUGUUAUAAGUGCUGUUCUUCCGAACUUUCUAUUCAUCAAAUAAUCCUAAAAAAAAAAAUGCAUCAGGGUUUCCACUAAAAUAUUAAGCAGCACAAUGGUUUUCAACCAGUUUUCUUGAGCAGCAAAUCAGCAUAUUAGAAUGAUUUCUGAAGGAUCAUGUGACACUGAAGACUGGAGUAAUGAUGCUGACAAUUCAGCUUUGCUUCACAGGAAUACAUUUCAUUUUAAAUAUAUAGACAACAGUUAUUCAAAAUUUUAUUACAGUUUUAUUGUAUUUUGAUCAUGUAAAUGCAGCCUUUAUGAGCAUAAUACACUUUCAAAACAUCUUCCUGGCCUCAAGCAUUUGAACGUAAGUGUAGCCUACUUUUUGUGCUGCAAAUUAUUUACAGACUUCAUGAUGCAUUAUUGCACAUGACAUUUUAAUAUCCCAUAUUAAAAUAUGGGAAUGGCAAUGGAACCGUUAGCAGAACUUUAAAUUCUGAAGGUGUGGUUUAGAUUAGGCUACUUUUUGUUACAACAUAAAUUUUUUAAGAAAAUUCACAAAAAAAAAUGAGGAAUCUAGGGCACAAACGAUAGCUUAAAAGAGACCAUCUGCACUGUUCCCAUCACCGUCCGCUCCACUGACCGACAUGUAAACAGAAGACGAUAAUCGAUAACAUUUGCACAUGAUCAGACUGUGAACCGGCAGCUGACUGAAAGAGAAGAGGGAAAAGGGGCUGACCUACCCUGGCCUUGUUCAUUUAAGUGCAAGUAACUGUUCAGAGGUUUUUUGAGGGUUCAGAUGAGAUUACAACUCUCUGAAACUAGAAACGUAAGAAGACGAACUCAAUAUUAUGAGCGUUUACAAAAAAAAUACUGCAUCAGCGGUCUUUUUUUUUUUUUUUUUUUAACCAUAGUAUAUAGUGUUUACCUGUCACAGGUAACAAAACAACUUCUGGAAUUCGCAAACACAAGGCUAUAAACCUACGAUGUUCAUAAUAAAUGUUUUAAGACUAAACUAGUGAUUGAAUCACCAUUCAUUUUCUCUCCCGUCUGUUUGUUGUCCUCCUGAGCUGUGGAGUGUGACAAUGGUGUUUGUAUCCUGUGUUGUCAAACGCCAUUAUCACACUAAAUAGCCACGGUGAGACCUCACGACCUCCUCAGCCAAUCAGCAAGCAGAGAAACAGAUGAUGUCACAGGCUGUGGGAUUCUAUUGUGGGAAUAUGAAACACCUUUGUGUCGUUAAAUGAAUACGUAUGAGUUUGGGUAAGGUUGAUAAAUUGGCAUCUGCCGAAAAUAGAUGUAAUAGAUCAUGUCUGCCAUAUGUUCCUACUGACCCAGUUGCUGUUAUUAGAUAUGUUAAUAAGUUCAGUAUGCAUGUCAUGUGACGCUUCCUUCGUAUUGUAUUUGGUAUUAGCGUGGUAUCUUCAUGACAAUAAAAUCUACAAAGAUUUGAAGUGUU